rnacentral:rRNA from 1 species
CCCUUAGAUGUUCUGGGCCGCACGCGCGCUACACUGAUGCAUUCAACGAGUCUAAAACCUGCUCUGAUAGGGGUGGGUAAUCUUUUGAAUGUGCAUCGUGAUUGGGAUAGAUGAUUGCAAUUUUUCAUCUUCAACGAGGAAUGCCUAGUAAACGCAAGUCAUCAGCUUGCAUUGAUUACGUCCCUGCCCUUUGUACACACCGCCCGCCGCUCCUACCGAUUGAAUGAUCCGAUGAAUAUCAUGGAUUGAGGAUGCAAGCAGGUUCGCCUGUCUUCAUCUUCGAGAAGUGAAGUAAAUCUUAUCAUUUAGAGGAAGGAGAAGUCGUAACA